AGAGCGAACGCUGGCGGCAGGCCUAACACAUGCAAGUCGAGCGCGUGUAGCAAUACACGAGCGGCAGACGGGAGAGUAACACGUGGGAACGCGCCCUUCGGUUCGGAAUAACUCAGGGAAACUUGAGCUAAUACCGGAUACGCCCUUACGGGGGAAAGAUUUAUUGCCGAAGGAACGGCCCGCGUCCGAUUAGCUAGUUGGUGAGGUAACGGCUCACCAAGGCGACGAUCGGUAGCUGGUCUGAGAGGAUGACCAGCCUCACUGGGACUGAGACACGGCCCAGACUCCUACGGGAGGCAGCAGUGGGGAAUAUGGACAAUGGGCGCAAGCCUGAUCCAGCCAUGCCGCGUGGAUGAUGAAGGCCUUAGGGUUGUAAAGUCCUUUUAACGGGGAAGAUAAUGACGGUACCCGUAGAAUAAGCCCCGGCUAACUUCGCGCCAGCAGCCGC
rnacentral:rRNA from 1 species